UACGUAGGUGGCAAGCGUUGUCCGGAUUUAUUGGGCGUAAAGGGCUCGUAGGCGGCCAACUAAGUCAGACGUGAAAUCCCUCGGCUUAACCGGGGAACUGCGUCUGAUACUGGAUGGCUUGAGGUUGGGAGAGGGAUGCGGAAUUCCAGGUGUAGCGGUGAAAUGCGUAGAUAUCUGGAGGAACACCGGUGGCGAAGGCGGCAUCCUGGACCAAUUCUGACGCUGAGUGAGCGAAAGCCAGGGGAGCAAACGGG
rnacentral:rRNA from 1 species